rnacentral:rRNA from 1 species
UACGUAGGGUCCGAGCGUUGUCCGGAAUUACUGGGCGUAAAGAGCUCGUAGGUGGUUUGUCGCGUUGUUCGUGAAAACUCACAGCUUAACUGUGGGCGUGCGGGCGAUACGGGCAGACUGGAGUACUGCAGGGGAGACUGGAAUUCCUGGUGUAGCGGUGAAAUGCGUAGAUAUCUGGAGGAAUACCGGUGGCGAAGGCGGCAUCCUGGACCGACAUUGACGCUGAACGGCGAAAGCUAGGGGAGCAAACGGG